AACGCGAAGAACCUUACCUGGGCUCGAAGCGCAGUGGACCGGGGUAGAAAUAUCCCUUCCCCUUAAAAGGCUGCUGCGGAGGUGCUGCAUGGCUGUCGUCAGCUCGUGUCGUGAGAUGUUGGGUUAAGUCCCGCAACGAGCGCAACCCUCGUCGAGUGUUGCCAUCAUUAAGUUGGGCACUCACUCGAGACCGCCGUUGAUAAGACGGAGGAAGGUGGGGAUGACGUCAAGUCAGCAUGGCCCUUACGUCCUGGGCUACACACGUGCUACAAUGGCCGGAACAACGGGCAGCAAGACCGCGAGGUCAAGCGAAUCCCAUAAAGCCGGUCUCAGUUCGGAUUGCAGGCUGCAACUCGCCUGCAUGAAGUCGGAAUCGCUAGUAACCGCAGAUCAGCUACGCUGCGGUGAAUACGUUCCCGGGCCUUGUACACACCGGAGUA
rnacentral:rRNA from 1 species